UGCAGUCGAGCGGUAGAGAGAAGCUUGCUUCUCUUGAGAGCGGCGGACGGGUGAGUAAUGCCUAGGAAUCUGCCUGGUAGUGGGGGAUAACGUUCGGAAACGGACGCUAAUACCGCAUACGUCCUACGGGAGAAAGCAGGGGACCUUCGGGCCUUGCGCUAUCAGAUGAGCCUAGGUCGGAUUAGCUAGUUGGUGAGGUAAUGGCUCACCAAGGCGACGAUCCGUAACUGGUCUGAGAGGAUGAUCAGUCACACUGGAACUGAGACACGGUCCAGACUCCUACGGGAGGCAGCAGUGGGGAAUAUUGGACAAUGGGCGAAAGCCUGAUCCAGCCAUGCCGCGUGUGUGAAGAAGGUCUUCGGAUUGUAAAGCACUUUAAGUUGGGAGGAAGGGUUGUAGAUUAAUACUCUGCAAUUUUGACGUUACCGACAGAAUAAGCACCGGCUAACUCUGUGCCAGCAGCCGCGGUAAUACACAGGGUGCAAGCGUUAAUCGGAAUUACUGGGCGUAAAGCGCGCGUAGGUGGUUUGUUAAGUUGGAUGUGAAAUCCCCGGGCUCAACCUGGGAACUGCAUUCAAAACUGACUGACUAGAGUAUGGUACAGGGUGGUGGAAUUUCCUGUGUAGCGGUGAAAUGCGUAGAUAUAGGAAGGAACACCAGUGGCGAAGGCGACCACCUGGACUAAUACUGACACUGAGGUGCGAAAGCGUGAGGAGCAAACAGGAUUAGAUACCCUGGUAGUCCACGCCGUACACAAUGUCAACUAGCCCGUUGGAAGCCCUUGAGCUUUUUAGUGGCCGCAGCUAACCCA
rnacentral:rRNA from 1 species